AUUGAACGCUGGCGGCAGGCCUAACACAUGCAAGUCGAACGAGUGGGAGACGGGUGAGAUAUGUCUGGGAAUCUGCCUGAUGGAGGGGUAAAAAUACGGGACGCGGUAGAUAAUCCCGUAUACCAUCGUAUGUGCCCAGAUGGGAUUCGCGAGUGGGUGGGGUAAAGGCUCACCUAGGCGACGAUCCCUCGCUGGUCUGAGAGGAUGACCAGCCACACUGGAACUGAGACACGGUCCAGACUCCUACGGGAGGCAGCAGUGGGGAAUAUUGCACAAUGGGCGCAAGCCUGAUGCAGCCAUGCCGCGUGUAUGAAGAAGGCCUUCGGGUUGUAAAGUACUUUCAGCGGGGAGGCGUUACCCGCAGAAGAAGCACCGGCUAACUCCGUGCCAGCAGCCGCGGUAAUAC
rnacentral:rRNA from 1 species